GAUGAAGAACGUAGUGAAAUGCGAUAAGUAAUGUGAAUUGCAGAAUUCAGUGAAUCAUCGAAUCUUUGAACGCAUCUUGCGCUCCUUGGUAUUCUGAGGAGCAUGCCUGUUUGAGUGUCAUUAAAUUCUCAACUACACUGACUUUGAAUUGGUGUGGCUUGGAUUUGGGGGGAAAAUUGUUGUGGGCUUUUUGUAUAGUCUGCUCCCCUGAAAUUGAUUAGCGGUACCUUUGUGGAACUGUCUACAGGUGUGAUAAUUAUCUACAUCUUAGACAUCUGCUGGAAUGCUGCUUUCUAAACCUUACUUGUAUUGACAAUCUUGACCUCAAAUCAGGUAGGACUACCCGCUGAACUUAAGCAUAUCAAAAGCGGAGGA
rnacentral:misc_RNA from 1 species